UAUAAAAGUCAGGAAAGUUUACAUGUGAUGUAACACUAUUGUACCCUCCAUGAUAACUCUGCACACUUAUCCCAAUUAUGUUCUCUCAAGCUGUUUUGUUUGUCUUAAAUCCAAGGCGCAACCCAGGAUCGCCCUGGAUACUGGCUGCCAUGUCUCUAGUUUCUCGAUCUAGAGCAGAGGUCUGCAAACUUGACUGUGAAGGGCCUGAUAGUGGCAGAGCCAGAACUGGAGCCCUGGCCUGUUGACGCAGUGACUAUACGCCAUGCUCUGUGCUGCUCUGCCUGCUCCUGUCCACAUGCUUGUGCGACUAGAAUUCUUGCCCGCUCGCCCCAGGCCAGUAGCUAUCUUCAAGUCAGUGUUACAGCAUGAAGGGCAUGGGAGGGACUGGAUGAGGUCUUUCACUUGCUUUUCUUCUGACGCAACUACUGUGCUCUGAGGGUGAGGCUGAGA